GACGUAGGGGGCGAGCGUUGUCCGGAUUUAUUGGGCGUAAAGCGUGCGUAGGCGGCUGCGCAAGUCGGGUGUGAAACCCCGGGGCUCAACCCCGGAACUGCAUCCGAUACUGCGUGGCUAGAGGUAGGUAGGGGAGAUCGGAAUUCCUGGUGUAGCGGUGAAAUGCGCAGAUAUCAGGAGGAACACCCGUGGCGAAGGCGGCACUCUGGGACGGUACUGACGCUGAGACGCGAAAGCGUGGGGAGCGAACAGG
rnacentral:rRNA from 1 species